rnacentral:rRNA from 1 species
GCCAGACUCCUACGGGAGGCAGCAGUGGGGGAUAUUGCACAAUGGGGGAAACCCUGAUGCAGCGACGCCGCGUGAGUGAAGAAGUAUUUCGGUAUGUAAAGCUCUAUCAGCAGGGAAGAAAAAAGACGGUACCUGACUAAGAAGCCCCGGCUAACUACGUGCCAGCAGCCGCGGUAAUACGUAGGGGGCAAGCGUUAUCCGGAUUUACUGGGUGUAAAGGGAGCGUAGACGGCAAUACAAGUCGGAAGUGAAAUACCCGGGCUCAACCUGGGAACUGCUUUGGAAACUGUAUGGCUGGAGUGCUGGAGAGGUAAGCGGAAUUCCUAGUGUAGCGGUGAAAUGCGUAGAUAUUAGGAGGAACACCAGUGGCGAAGGCGGCUUACUGGACAGUAACUGACGUUGAGGCUCGAAAGCGUGGGGAGCAAACAGGAUUAGAUACCCGUGUAC